rnacentral:rRNA from 1 species
UACGUAGGGUGCGAGCGUUGUCCGGAAUUAUUGGGCGUAAAGAGCUUGUAGGCGGUUUGUCGCGUCUGCUGUGAAAUUUCGGGGCUCAACCCCGAACUUGCAGUGGGUACGGGCAGACUAGAGUGUGGUAGGGGAGACUGGAAUUCCUGGUGUAGCGGUGAAAUGCGCAGAUAUCAGGAGGAACACCGGUGGCGAAGGCGGAUCUCUGGGCCAUUACUGACGCUGAGGAGCGAAAGCGUGGGGAGCGAACAGG